UACGUAGGGGGCAAGCGUUGUCCGGAUUUAUUGGGCGUAAAGAGCGUGUAGGCGGCUUGGUAGGUCCGCUGUGAAAACUCGAGGCUCAACCUCGAGAUGUCGGCGGAAACCACUUGGCUAGAGUCCGGAAGAGGAGAGUGGAAUUCCCGGUGUAGCGGUGAAAUGCGCAGAUAUCGGGAAGAACACCUGUGGCGAAGGCAGCUCUCUGGGACGGUACUGACGCUGAGACGCGAAAGCGUGGGGAGCGAACAGG
rnacentral:rRNA from 1 species